rnacentral:rRNA from 1 species
ACACGCAUGACACACUGCAUAUCAAUAAGCGGAGGAAAAGAAACUAGCAAGGAUUCCCUAGUAACGGCGAGUGAAGCGGGAAGAGCUCAAAUUUGAAAUCUUAAAGGUUUUCCCUUGACGAAUUGUAGUUUAAAGAAGUGUUUUCUGUUGAAGUUUCGGUAAAAGUUCUUUGGAAUAGGACAUCAUAGAGGGUGAGAAUCCCGUAUUUGACCAUUACUUUCCAGCUGUGUGAUACACUUUCAAAGAGUCGGAUUGUUUGGGAAUGCAGUCCAAAAUGGGUGGUAAAUUUCAUCUAAAGCUAAAUAUUGGCGAGAGACCGAUAGCGAACAAGUACCGUGAGGGAAAGAUGAAAAGAACUUUGAAAAGAGAGUUAAACAGUACGUGAAAUUGUCAAAAGGGAAGCGUUUGACACCAGUGUUGUUUAGUUGAAAAUCAAUUCAAUAAUUUUUGAUUUUGAGUAGUAUUGACUUCAUCAGCUUGCUGCUUUCUUUUCGGAAAUUAUUGAAUGCACUUUUCAGUUAACAAGUCAACAUCAAUUUCUUUUGUUGUAAAAGGGUAAGAGGAAGGUGGCUUACGCUUCGGCGUAAGUGUUUAUAGCCUUUUACCUCUGCAAUCAGAGAGAUUGAGGACAGCAGCGUAGACUCUUCGGGGUUAGAUACACUUGUGCUAAGCUAUAGCCUUGUAUAGACAACUUGUUGACUAUGCUCAGUCAUGUAGCUUACUCGCUUGUGCUAUUUUACCUACGCUUAGGAUGUUGACUGAUAUGUAGUCGUA